rnacentral:rRNA from 1 species
CAAUAGCGUAUAUUAAAGUUGUUGCAGUUAAAACGCUCGUAGUCGGAUUUCGGGGCGGGCCGACCGGUCUGCCGAUGGGUAUGCACUGGCCGGCGCGUCCUUCCUUCCGGAGACCGUGCCUACUCUUAACUGAGCGGGUUCGGGAGACGGAUCGUUUACUUUGAAAAAUCAGAGUGUUUCAAGCAGGCAGCUCGCUCUUGCAUGGAUUAGCAUGGAGAUAAUAGAAAUAGGUACUUUGGUGCUUAUUUUUGGUUUGGUUUACGAACCACCGAAGUAAUGAUUAACGAGGGACAGUCGAGGGGCACUCGUAUUCCGCCGAGAGAGGUAGAAAUUCUCAGACCAGCGGAAGACCGAACCACUGACGAAAGCUAUUU